rnacentral:SRP_RNA from 1 species
AAGAGACCUUUAAGACAGCUGGUCAUUAUGCUGACUGGAUAUCUGCACUAAGUUUGGCAUCAAUAUGGUGACCUCCUGGGAGCGGGGGACCACCAGGUUGCCUAAGGAUGGGAGAACUGGCCCAGGUCAGAAAGGGAGCAGGUCAGAAUUCCUGCACCAGUCGGUAGUGGGACUGUGCCUGGGCAAUAUAGCAAGAUCUUAGUUCUU